rnacentral:rRNA from 1 species
UACGUAGGGUGCGAGCGUUGUCCGGAAUUACUGGGCGUAAAGAGCUCGUAGGUGGUUUGUCGCGUUGUUCGUGAAAACCUGAGGCUUAACCUUGGGCGUGCGGGCGAUACGGGCAGACUGGAGUACUGCAGGGGAGACUGGAAUUCCUGGUGUAGCGGUGGAAUGCGUAGAGAUCCGGAGGAACACCAGCGGCGAAGGCGGCAUCCUGGACUGGUCCUGACACUCAGGAGCGAAAGCGUGGGGAGCGAUCCGG